UGGCGGACGGGUGAGUAACGCGUGGGUAACCUGCCCCAUACAGGGGGAGUAACAGCUGGAAACGGCUGCUAAUACCGCAUAAUCCUGCGGGGCCGCAUGGCCCUGCAUGGAAAGCUUUGGCGGUAUGGGAUGGGCCCGCGUCUGAUUAGGCAGUUGGCGGGGUAACGGCCCACCAAACCGACGAUCAGUAGCCGGCCUGAGAGGGCGACCGGCCACAUUGGGACUGAGACACGGCCCAAACUCCUACGGAAGGCAGCAG
rnacentral:rRNA from 1 species